rnacentral:miRNA from 1 species
GGGCGCUGGCCGGCGGGG